AGUGAACGCUGGCGGUAGGCCUAACACAUGCAAGUCGAACGGCAGCACAGUAAGAGCUUGCUCUUACGGGUGGCGAGUGGCGGACGGGUGAGGAAUACAUCGGAAUCUACUUUUUCGUGGGGGAUAACGUAGGGAAACUUACGCUAAUACCGCAUACGACCUACGGGUGAAAGCAGGGGAUCUUCGGACCUUGCGCGAUUGAAUGAGCCGAUGUCGGAUUAGCUAGUUGGCGGGGUAAAGGCCCACCAAGGCGACGAUCCGUAGCUGGUCUGAGAGGAUGAUCAGCCACACUGGAACUGAGGCACGGUCCAGACUCCUACGGGAGGCAGCAGUGGGGAAUAUUGGACAAUGGGCGCAAGCCUGAUCCAGCCAUACCGCGUGGGUGAAGAAGGCCUUCGGGUUGUAAAGCCCUUUUGUUGGGAAAGAAAAGCAGCAGGUUAAUACCCCGCUGUUCUGACGGUACCCAAAGAAUAAGCACCGGCGAACUUCGU
rnacentral:rRNA from 1 species